GGUGCCCUGCAGCUCCAUGGUCUUAACCCCUGCUGGUCUCUUGGCCUCCCUCGGUCCCCAGUCCUCCCGAAUGAGCGAAGAGGUGCGUCCGGCCUAGGAGCUCUUCCAGUGCAGGGGAGGCCUUUGCCUUUCUGACCAGCAGUUUUUUGCCCAACAGAAUGGAAAGAGGAUGCAGCAGGAAUUGAGACACUCCUCGAGCCUGCCCGCGGCUGAGUCAGCGCCCCACCCUGAGGUUGGUCGUAACUUUCCUUCCAAGGAGUAAGCGUCUUUUAAUUUCAUGGCUGCAAUCACCAUCUGCAUUAGAAACUUCCAAUUGUCAUUCCCCCCUUCAGUUCUUAUGUUCUUUGAGAAUACUUCAGAAAACUUCUCAGCCUCCUGUUCACCCCAUCAGCUGACACACUGAUGUUCAGUCGCCAAGUCGUGUCCAACUCUUCAUGACCCCAUAGACUGCGGCAUGCCAGGCUUCCCUGUUCCUCACCAUCUCCCAAAGUUUGCCCAAGUUCAUGCUCAUUAAAUCGGUGAUGCCAUCCAACCGUCUCAUCCUCUGUUGCCCUCUUCUCCUGCCUUUAAUCAUUCCCAGCAUCAGGAUUGUUUCAAAUGAGUGUGCUGUUCACAUCAAAUGGGCAAACUAUUCAAGCUUCAACUUCAGCAUCAGUCUUUCCAAUGAGUAUUCAGGAUUAAUUGCCUUUAAGAUUGACUGGUUUGAUCUCCUUGCUGUCCAAGAGUCUUCUGAAGCACU